rnacentral:rRNA from 1 species
UGAGUAAUGCCUACGAAUCUGCCUGGKAGUGGGGGACAACGUUUCGAAAGGAACGCUAAGACCGCAYACGUCCUACGGGAGAAAGCAGGGGACCUUCGGGCCUUGCGCUAUCAUAUGAGCCUAGGUCGGAUUACCUAGUUGGUGGGGUAAUGGCUCACCAAGGCGACGAUCCGUAACUGGUCUGAGAGGAUGAUCAGUCACACUGGAACUGAGACACGGUCCAGACUCCUACGGGAGGCAGCAGUGGGGAAUAUUGGACAAUGGGCGAAAGCCUGAUCCAGCCAUGCCGCGUGUGUGAAGAAGGUCUUCGGAUUGUAAAGCACUUUAAGUUGGGAGGAAGGGCAGUAAGUUAAUACCUUGCUGUUUUGACGUUACCGACAGAAUAAGCACCGGCUAACUCUGUGCCAGCAGCCGCGGUAAUACAGAGGGUGCAAGCGUUAAUCGGAAUUACUGGGCGUAAAGCGCGCGUAGGU